UACGUAGGGUGCGAGCGUUGUCCGGAAUUAUUGGGCGUAAAGGGCUCGUAGGCGGUCUGUCGCGUCGGGAGUGAAAACUCAGGGCUUAACCCUGAGCCUGCUUCCGAUACGGGCAGACUAGAGGUAUGCAGGGGAGAACGGAAUUCCUGGUGUAGCGGUGAAAUGCGCAGAUAUCAGGAGGAACACCGGUGGCGAAGGCGGUUCUCUGGGCAGUACCUGACGCUGAGGAGCGAAAGCGUGGGGAGCGAACAGG
rnacentral:rRNA from 1 species